CCUAGGUGGCUGCAGUGGGGAAUAUUGGACAAUGGGCGAAAGCCUGAUCCAGCCAUGCCGCGUGUGUGAAGAAGGCCUUCGGGUUGUAAAGCACUUUCAGUGGGGAAGAAAGCCUUGGGGCUAAUACCCUCGAGGAAGGACAUCACCCACAGAAGAAGCACCGGCUAACUCCGUGCCAGCAGCCGCGGUAAUACGGAGGGUGCGAGCGUUAAUCGGAAUUACUGGGCGUAAAGCGCGCGUAGGCGGUCUGAUAAGCCGGUUGUGAAAGCCCCGGGCUCAACCUGGGAACGGCAUCCGGAACUGUCAGGCUAGAGUGCAGGAGAGGAAGGUAGAAUUCCCGGUGUAGCGGUGAACUGCGUAGAGAUCGGGAGGAAUACCAGUGGCGAAGGCGGCCUUCUGGACUGACACUGACGCUGAGGUGCGAAAGCGUGGGUAGCAAACAGGAUUAGAUACCCCGGUAGUC
rnacentral:rRNA from 1 species